AGUGAACGCUGGCGGCGUGCCUAAUACAGCAAGUCGAACGGAAUUUAAAAGAGCUUGCUCUUUUAAAUUUAGUGGCGCACGGGUGAGUAAUAUAUAGCUAAUCUGCCCCUUGCUGGAGGACAACAGUUAGAAAUGACUGCUAAUGCUCCAUACUCCUUUUUACCAUAAGAUAAAUCGGGAAAGAAUUUCGGCAAGGGAUGGACUAUAUCGUAUCAGCUAGUCGGUGGGGUAACGGCCUACCGAGGCUAUGACGCGUAACUGGUCUGAGAGGAUGAUCAGUCACAUUGGAACUGAGACACGGUCCAAACUCCUACGGGAGGCAGCAGUAGGGAAUAUUGCGCAAUGGGGGAAACCCUGACGCAGCAACGCCGCGUGGAGGAUGACACUUUUCGGAGCGUAAACUCCUUUGUUUG
rnacentral:rRNA from 1 species